CCAAAGAAUUACUACUGAAGCCACACCGAAUAAUCUGGAGGUCGCCCAGUGAGAGAAGGCUGCUCGCCAGCGCCGUUGCUCCACCCCUCCCCCUUAUCUGUUGCCCAUCUCCUCUGGAUCUCACCCGGUGUUUUUUCUUCUAUCUCUCCCUCACGCAACAGCAAUGAAAAAAGCAGCGGCAGCACCGCAGCCACGGUCAGGGCAAAAGGAGUCGCGGCGGCUAAGCAGGCUGCCUCCACAUUCACCCACCGUGCAAAGGACAGGCUGCCAACGCUUGGCAUGUGUCCACCAUUUCUCCUUCUCUAACGUGAUGUUUAGCCUGUGCUGAUUGCCUGUUUAUGGGCUGAUUUGUUCUGAUUGGGCUGGCCUUAUUUUCUACGCCUUGCUUUUUUCUUUUCUAAUACGGAGUGUUCGAGGGACGCCCUCUUUCGCCGUCCUUCCGUCUGUUCGCAUGGCGGCGGCGGAUCGACCGCCACGAGGUGGGCGAGAGCGAUCCUCUGCUUUCUUGCCGCGAGAAGGCCCUUGUUUCACUCCUUCAGUUUCAGAUGGGCCCAUCAGCUCUGCUGAAGCACGGCGCCGUCAUCAAGAUAUUCGGCGGGGGAAGCGUCCCGUUGAAGACAAUUCAUUUAAGAAAUGUGUACCUCUAACUUCAGCAGUGUGCGGGUCUUCCCAUCGCUGUCCAGCGCGAAGACAAUCCAUUUAAGAAAUGUGUACGUCUAAUUUAGUGUGCGGGUCUUCUUCCAUCGCUGUCCAGCGCGAUUUUCCUACAUUACGGUUUUCAUCAUUUAGUAGUGUUUCGUUGCAACAACCUGUUUAUACUUCCAUAACCUUCGGGCCAUCUUUGUUUCGGGUUUUAGAACUGUCUCAUGCGCCUACCCGACACCGUUGGUGUUUCCUCUCCCGUAUGUCCAUCCUCUUCAAGCUGGAUUGAACAGGAGGAAGAGAAAAUUUAUUUGGAAACAUCGAUCAAGCAAACUUAGAAUUAAAAAACUUGCGCCUCCAUUUUCCAAAGAUCACAUUGAUUUGUUGAAAGGUAGAUGUUUUUAGCCUUCUUUCACGGUGUAACAUACAGUUACUACACCAGCAUCCUCGGGAAAGUCAUUAGACGAAACGCCCACUUCACAAAGCAAGAAGAGACAACAAAACAAGGACGGACUCUCACCACGUAAAAAGAGAGCCACGUCGCCAAGCAGUUAUUCACCUUCGAAAGUGAUCAAGAAAAAGCUGAAGCUGAUCAAGAGAAGGCUCAAGAUAUGCCAUCCAAGUGAUGAAGGAGCUCCACACACCAAAUUCUAAGAUAAAUCAAACUACGCUCCCACCAUGGCAGACCCCAACACUGAAGAACCACCGUUCUUAGUAUUGUAAACAUAUGUGUAUCUCAUUUCAUCUGAACUUUCUGCCUCUUUUGAACUAUACAGCUAUCACUUGGGCUGCCUGUAGCCUACCAGUUUGUUCCGUAGUUGAUCCCCUAUGUAUAAGCACAACCUUAAUCUAUGAUCGUCAUAGAUGUACUUAAUCUAUGAUCGUCAUAGAUGUAAUGGCAUACUAGCUAUUCUGUGUAUGAUUGUGUCAGC